rnacentral:misc_RNA from 1 species
CAUUGUCCGUACUAUGCCUGGCCAGGGCUAGCUUCGUCAGCAGCAUUGAAGCAUCCGAGCAGACCUUAUCGGAGCUUUCACCCGUACCACUGCCCACGACAGACUCGCCGCCGGGCAAUCCCGGUGGUGAUGGCCGCUUCUGCCGCUGUGCACGUAGGCACAUACGUGCGACUCCACAUGCGGUGUCAUUUGAUACCACGUCCCACAGGCCAUCACUCGCCAGUAUCAAACACUCAUCCUCCGCCGCCCGUUCCGUCACGGUCACCUCCGGCUCCGAUAUUACAUACGGUUUCAAAUAGUUAUCACCUGGAAAAAAAAUUGAAGAUCAGCAAUUAAAUUUCCUCGCUAAUGCUCAAGUAUAUUGAGUUGAUUUAAUUCAAUACAAGUCUUCGUCCAUACCAAUUGCUCUCGACAUGGCCAAAACUCCCAGGACUCUUGCACCGUCCCAGUAGAUUACCCGGCCACCAGCGGCUUGGAUUCGAGCCAAUUCAUCCGGUCGAUCAGGCUGCAGAUUUACAAAAUAAACUAAAUGCGUUAAAAAUGAACCUAGUAAUUUGUAUGACACGCUCCAACAGUUGACCCGACCCACGUGUUUCACGUCUUAUCUUUUGAGUGGCACCACCACUUUUGCCAAAAGCGAUGGGCCCGUUAAUUCACGAGCUACGCAAAAACAAAGACCUAAUCCUCAUUCAACAGCAGCACGUAUCGCCGGAAUUUUAAAAAAAUAAAUUCUAGAGUAGUUCGGGAAUUAAAACUCACCUUGUGAUCGGAAGAAAGGGGGAUAGCUACUCCGUUGCGGCAUAGUACGGCGCGGGAGUCGCCGCAGUUGGAGACUACGAUCUUGUUCGGCGUUACAACUGCAACUACAGCCGUGGAUCCAACGGCGUCGCACUGCGGAGUCUGGAGCUCGCACCGGCAGUUAGUGUUCUUAUCUCCUUUGUUGCACCACUCCUCCAGCUCAUUGUCCAUCUUCGCAUAGCUUCUCGCCAUCGCUUCCUUCCACUCAACGCACUUCACUUCGUCGAAUCUUUCGAUUUCUUCUUUCAUAAUCUCGUGUAGCCGAUCUUUACACUUCAUCGCCACAUGAGAGCAA